rnacentral:rRNA from 1 species
AGUUACCAGCACGUUAUGUGGGCACUCUAAGGAGACUGCCGGUGACAAACCGGAGGAAGGUGGGGAUGACGUCAAGUCAUCAUGGCCCUUACGGCCUGGGCUACACACGUGCUACAAUGGUCGGUACAAAGGGUUGCCAAGCCGCGAGGUGGAGCUAAUCCCAUAAAACCGAUCGUAGUCCGGAUCGCAGUCUGCAACUCGACUGCGUGAAGUCGGAAUCGCUAGUAAUCGUGAAUCAGAAUGUCACGGUGAACACGUUCCCGGGCCUU